rnacentral:rRNA from 1 species
GACGUAGGGCGCGAGCGUUGUCCGGAUUUAUUGGGCGUAAAGAGCGUGUAGGCGGCCAGGUAGGUCAGCUGUGAAAACUCGAGGCUCAACCUCGAGACGCCGGUUGAAACCAUCUGGCUAGAGUCCGGAAGAGGAGAGUGGAAUUCCUGGUGUAGCGGUGAAAUGCGCAGAUAUCAGGAAGAACACCCGUGGCUAAGGCGGCUCUCUAGUACGGUACUGACGCUGAGACGCGAAAGCGUGGGGAGCGAACAGG